CCUACGGGUGGCAGCAGUGAGGAAUAUUGGUCAAUGGGCGGAAGCCUGAACCAGCCAAGUAGCGUGCGGGAUGAAGGCACUACGGGUCGUAAACCGCUUUUGCACGGGGAUAACACCCUCCACGUGUGGAGGUCUGCAGGUACCGUGCGAAUAAGGGUCGGCUAAUUCCGUGCCAGCAGCCGCGGUAAUACGGAAGGCCCGAGCGUUAUCCGGAUUCAUUGGGCUUAAAGGGAGCGUAGGCGGGCGUUCAAGUCAGCUGUAAAAUCGCGCGGCUCAACCGCGCCCCGCAGUUGAAACUGGCCGUCUUGAGUUGGCGACAGGUAGGCGGAAUUCGUGGUGUAGCGGUGAAAUGCAUAGAUAUCACGAAGAACCCCGAUUGCGAAGGCAGCCUGCCGGGGUGCAACUGACGCUGAGGCUCGAAGGUGCGGGUAUCGAACAGGAUUAGAUACCCGUGUAGUC
rnacentral:rRNA from 1 species